rnacentral:lncRNA from 1 species
AACAAUAGAAAGUAUUCAAAACCCGAAUACAAAGAGCAAAUCCCAAAGAAACCCAAAUAUCUCAAAUAUAAAAGCUCUCCUUAAAAGCUCUUUAACAAAUCUCACACAAAAAAUAUUUAACGCAAAUUUAAUUCUCUAAAACAAAUUGUUACUAAAUAGAGUUCCAAAGGCCCUUUAAAUAAGCUUGGAACAUGAGUCCAAUAUGACUAAAAUAACAUGUAGGAAAUAGAAUUCAACUGGGAGAAAUAGUCCUGUUGAAAGUAAAAAACAUAAUUGUAUUUCUCCAGCAGUUAUUGUGUUGUCUCGACGUGGUGUCUCUUCCUCAUCUCGAUGUCACUGCUGGUUUGUUGGGUGCCAAAGGCGUCGUGCCAUGCCGACGUGCUUCACCUAGCUUGUCCUGACGUCAUGUAGAUUUCUGCUCUUCUUCGGUUGCUUGUCGAUUUUUAACUUACAUGCCUGCAACGUCUCUAAUAAAUGCAAAGCAUAGACCACAAUACUCAAUAUUUGUGUAGUUCAAAUCAAUGAAAAAUCUAUGCAAAAUAAAAAUAAAAAUUAUUACUGAUACAAUGUUAUCUAUUAAUAUUAUUUUUUCUUAAUAAGUUGGGUUCAACUUCAACUUAACUAUAUAGUUGUAUAACAACUCUAUUAUUUUUAAAAAAUAAAAAUUAUUAUUUAUAAUAUCAAUUUAAUAAUAUAAUGAAUAAAAAAAAAUUUAUUGAUUUAAAUUUUUUUCAAACUCAUACUUUUAUAUAGAGUGAUUUCAUAUCUUCAACGUCAACAAAGCCGCCAAGAAAUAUUAAAAAAAUUAGUAUCUUCAAUGCUAAUUAUUAUUAGCACAAAAACAUCAUUUCAUGCAAUCAUUUGAAAAAGUUUUUUUUUUUAGGUUGACAAAAACAAAAAUUAAGUAAUAACGAUAACAAUCAACCCGUUAUACUCGCAUUUUUAUAAGUAUGCAGAGCUCCUUGUAUAACUUGGUGGAUCCAUGAACAGUACAAGCUUUGACACUUCAUUAUUUGCGUACUUAGUCAUUUGAUCAUAUUUUGCGACCUUUGAAUAUGGCGAAUUCUUAUUCUCCAAUUUCGUUUGAGAAGGUAACUAAUUAAAUGUAAUUCAACCAACUUACUAGAAUCAGCUCUACCAGCUAGCAGACUCUCCACUAAAAGUGCAUUAUCACGUUCUAGUUAUACUUGCCUUGCCUGAAUACUUUCUCCCAUGCUAUGCUCAGACCUUCAUGUAUGGCACGUGUUUCAAUCUGAAAAAUUGAUUCCUUGCUCACCACCAUUGAAAACCCACAAAACCAUCUCUCAUCCGCAUCCCUAAAUACACCUCCCACCAACGCCCAAUUAUUUAUACCUAAUACAACUCAAUCUGUGUUGAGCUUAACCCAGCUAUUCUCAAGUGGUGACCAGUAAAUGUCCGAUGCCGAUGGAUUCAGUUGUGGCCCAACUACACCUGGAUUUGUAUAACUCCCUGCCCAUAAAAUACUUGUAUCAAAAAUUUUUUCCACACAAUUAUGGCCAUUAGCAAAAACAAAAAAGUUACUAUCCUUCCACAAUAGCCCACAUAAGAUCGAGAACAAGGACUGCACUCGAAAUUCUCAGACCCCCAUCCUCUUAUGCUUUUUAAGUUCCACUUCAACCAAUCAGUAAGUGGCAUAGAAAAGAACAAUAAAUGAGCAUUUUCCGGUACUACAGACAACUAUACUAUUCUUGAAAAAGAGCAAUCUCUAAUUACAUGAAGUCCUGAUUCCAACACUUCUCCACAUCUAGGACAAUGUCUUUCAUUAGUCAUAUGUCUCCUUGCUCUCUCUCCAUUAGUCAGUAAUUUGUCUUACCAAAAGUUCCAAAGAAAGACACGUACUCUUUGAGGCACUUUGGCUUUCCAAAUUAAUUUCCAACAGGAAGAGUCUACGCCACGAACAAGAUGGUACAAACACCUGUAAGUUUCGGCACUUGAGAACUUGUCUUUAGACAUCCACUUCCAAGCCAGUCUAUCUGUUCCUGUAACAGAGGCGGGGGGGGGGGGAUCAUAGAAAAAAUGACCCUAACAAUGUUCUCAGGAAGUAAACUGGAUAACCGAGGCCAAUCCCUAGCCCCACUAUUAGCCACCAAAUCGUAGACACAUAGCGUAUCAUCUGGAUGCCCAGUACCAACGUAGAGAUCCCUAAGUUGGUCAACCUGUUUAACCCACAUAUCAUUCCAGAAAUUAGUGAGUCGACCAUCAUCUAUAGCCCAAAACACAUUGCUUACCACAUCUGGCCAAACCUUCAUCAGUGAUCUCCAAAUGUACGAACAAUUACUCUUUACUACGGACAUCGGUAAAACCCCUUGAACUCUGUAUUUAUUCCUCAAUAAUUGUCCCAUGGUGCUUCUGUAUUAGUAAGGAUCUGGAACCCCAAUUUCAUUAAGAAAAUCUUAUUCUGAGUAAUUAAGCUUCUAAGGCCAAGACCUCCAUAUUUAAUAGGACGACAAUAAUUUUCCCAAGACACUAAUGCUGCUUUUCUUGACUGAGAUGCGGAACCCCAUAUGAAGCUACGAGUUAAGUUUUCAAUUUCGCUGUAUACAGAAACUGGAAUACAGAUAGUACUCAUGAAGUAAUUGGGAAUACUACGCAAAACCUAUUUAACCAGAGUGAUUCUACCCGCCAAAGAAAGUUUACUUGCUUCCCAACCAUUUAAUUUACUUCGAACUUUUUUAAGCACAAAUUCAAAAGCAUUAGACGUGACAUGAGUAUGAAACAAGGGAAUGCCAAGAUAGUUCCCAAUAUUGUCCACAAGUGCAAAACCAAUUUCACUAAAAAUUCCAUUUGCAACAUCACUCGAAGUAUUAGGUGAGAAGAAAACCUGUGACUUCUCUCUAUUCACUCUUUGGCCCGAAAAAUGAUAGAAUGUACGAAGAAUAUCAUUCACUUGACUUGCUUGAACCAUGUUGGCUUCACAGAAAAGUAUGAGGUCGUCGACAAAAAAUAAGUGAGAAAUUGUUGGACCCCCUCUUGAUAGAAAAUAUCGGAGACCAACUUCCAUAGCUUACAGCCUCAUCAAUUAAAUGCUCCAGCCUUUCCAGGCAAAGUACAAACAAGUAACAAGACAGUCGGUCUCCUUGUCUCAAACCGUGCGUUGGACAAAAACUUUCUGUGAUCCUACCAUUCCAUAGUAUAUGAAAAGAUACAGAAUAAACACAGUUCAUAAUCACAGAUACCAAUAGUCUUGGUGGACCCACUUCAAAAGUGGGUCUUCCAAAAAAUCCCACCUGACUCUGUCAUACACCUUCUCCAAAUUGAUUUUUAAAGCCAUUCCAUAUUUUCUACCUUUGAAACCUUUCAUAGAGUGUACAACUUCCUGAGCAACUACAAUAUUAUCAAUGAUAAACCUCCCUGCAACAAAGCUAGCUUGGUUCUGAUUAGUGAGCUUGAUCAUCAAAGGCCUCAGAUUAAUUACAAUUGUUUUCAUGAUGACCUUGUAAGCCAUCGUACACAGGCUAAUCAACCUAAAUUAAGAUAUUCUCUACGGGACUUGGACUUUUGGCAAUAGAACAAUCAGAGUUCUAUUAAUCAUAGGAUCUACAGAUGCACCUCCCAUGAUUUGCCGAACCAUAGAACAGAUCGAGCUACCAACAUUAUCCCAAUUUUCCCGAUAAAAUUUAGCAUGGAACUUGUCAAUUCCUGGAGCCUUCAAGGGUGCCAUACUAAAAACAGCUCUGCGUAUUUCAUCAUCAGAAAUAGACAACAUCAAACAUUCCAUAUCAGCCGUGGGUAUCAGUGGGAACAUACCUUGGCUAGGAGGAUAACCAUUGAUCGGAUACUCUGUUGCAUAUAGGUCUUUGAAGUAGUUCACCACAUGUUGUUUCAAAGAAUCAUCGUCAAAACACCAUUCAUCAUUUCAAACCUUCAACCCUUUAAUCUUAUUCCUUCUUCAUCUUGCUAGAGUGCGUCUAUGGAAAUAACUUGUAUUUCUAUCUCCAUAUUUAAGCCAUUUCGAUCUAGAUUUUUGGAAACACAUUAGUUCUUCAUGGUUCAGAAUUUCUUCAACCUCUUGGCCUAAGUUUAAUUCACGUUCAUGGAGACACGACGAGGUCAUUAAAUCUAGAAUUUUUUGCACCCUGUUCAAUUCAGAAAUAAGUUUCCUUUUACGCACAAAGAUGUUUUCGUAAAAUCAUUUAUUCCAAUCUUGCACCACAUUUUGAAAACAUUCCAAAUUCCUUUCAAUCCCUAUAUAAUUUCUCCAAGUUUUCCUCACAAGGUCUUUAAACUCGGAAUGUAGCAUCCAACUAGCUAGAACCUGAAACGAACGACAAUCCCUUUGAACAAUCGGGCUUAGAGAGACCAAAAUUGGACAAUGGUCGGAUUUCAGCCGAUGAAGAUUAUGGACCGUACAGUUUGGCGCAAAGAAGUCCCACUCUGAAUUGCCGAUCAAGUCUCUGAGACAGGUUCCUUCUACUCCAUGUGAACUGAGGACUGUUGUAGCCCAAAUCCCAAAUCUUAUUGUCAAACAGGAAAGACUGAAACCACUUACAACCAAGUCGUUCCUGAACAACACCUCCUACCCUCUCUGAAUCAUGUAACACUGAGUUAAAAUCACCAACAAUCAGCCACGAUUCUGAAAUUGAAUUUUCCAUGACAUCCAAGUUAUACCAGAGAUCCUUCCUCUUCGUUUGUUGCGGGCUAGCAUAAACCACUGUGCAUAGGAAACUAGAAGAGUUAAUCUCGCUGCAAACUUUCAUGUGGACCAUUUGAGGAUGAAUAGCCAGAAUAUCAACUAAAACCGUCGCAUUCCACAGAAUCCAUAUUCCAGCGGCAAAACUAUUAGCUUUAAUCCUACAAGAUUGAGCCAUUCCAAUUUGAGAAAUAAUUAUGUCAGCUCGCGUACAUCUUGUCCGAGUUUCAAAAAGACAAAUGAUCUCCGGCUGAAACUCUUUCCGAUUCUCAAAUAAACUUAUGAAAACGCGGAUGUCUCAUGCCUUGACAAUUCCAAAAAAUAAUUUUUGUGUCCAUAUAAAGCAGAGCGAAAAAAAAAAAAAACCAACAACAGAUUGUGUGCUAACAAAUAACCUUGGCGUUAGUAGGAACUGUAGUACCCAUCUACUCAUCAUCUUCCGAAUUUUCGAUUAUUGUCUCCGUGAUUGCAUGUCUCAGCUCCAACCCAGAGAUAUACCCUCCACAGCUGCCGCUAAAUCCACCGUAGCAACUAUCGAUUUAUUCAAAGAAUCAUCUGGCGAUUUAUGAUGUUGGGCAAUCCCUUCGGCCGAUAACUGACUUCGCGGCCCUUGAAGAAUGCCAUUGGAAGCUACCCUAAAACGAAAAACCCCAUUCUCCUUGCCCGACUCUAUACCCAUUUUAUGCUUGAGCAACCCCCUGUUCUCUUUCUCACUGUUUACUUGCCUGGAACGCCUGAUGCUUGGUUUGAUCUAACUUGGCUGUUAAAGUAAUUGGUUGGAAACCCAUGAUUUGCUCACCUCCAGCAGCCUUGUUGGUGUUCAGGCCAAAAUUAACAUUAGUGGGUCUCUGACCCAUUCCAGUUGAAGACCCAAUAUUCUUAUUGAUAAGCCUCAAAAUUUUAAAGCCCACUUUGGACCCAUUCCCUAACAAAAAUCCUUUACCUUUAGCAUUCGACUUAUUUCUU